AGUCUUUGUCACCGAGGCUGGACGCAGUGGCAGGAUCUCAGCUGCAACCUCCACCUCCCAGACUCAAGGGAGCUUCCCAGCCUCCCAAAUAGCUGGGACUACAGGUGUGCACCACCACACCUGGCUAAUUCUUUGAAUUUUUUUGGUAGAGACUGGGUUUUGCUAUGUUGCCUAGGCUGGUCUUGAACUAAUAGGCUCAAGCAGUCCAACUGCCUCAGCCUCCCAAAGAUUUGGGAUUACAGGCGUGAGCCAUCAGGCCGAGCAUUCAUACUUACUUUUGAAUAAUGAGUUUCGGAAACUAUAGAGAUUUAGCUACAAAGUUAAUUCUCCCUCAACACUUUACAAAAUAUUGCACCAAUACCUUCAAUUGUUCGUUGUUGAUUAUAAGGAAUCUGGUAUUACAGGGCUAGUAAAUCAAACCCCCAAAAACUUUCUCCACCGAACUUCACCUGUAACCUCUACCAUUUAAAGGAAUUUCCAUUUCUGUGAGGUUCCCAAGAUUUGCUAAACCUACCAGCCUGCUGCGUCAUAGAUUGAGUGUUGCUGCAGUAAUGUGAAGCAAGCCUACUGUCACCUUCUCAUAGAAAAUUGGAUAUCUUUCCUGACUGCCUGUUGUGGACUGAAUUGAGUCCACUUCAAAAUUCAUAUGUUAAAGCCCUAACCCCCAAUGUCACUGUUAAGGAGGAAAUUAAGGUUAAAUGAGGUCAUAUGGGUGGGAACCUUAAUUCAAUAAGACUGGUGUCCUUAUCAGAAGAAACACACCAAGGAUGCAUACUCACAGAAAAAAGCCCUCAUGAGGACAUAGAGAGAAGAUGGUCAUCAGCAAGGCAAGGAGAGAGGCAUCAAGAGAAACCAAACCUGCAGACACUUUGAUCUUAGACUUCCAGCCUCCAUACUGUGAGAUAAAUUUCUGUUAUUUAAGUCACAUAGUCUGUGGUAUUUUGUUAUGGCAACCCUAGCAAACUACUACACAGCCUUUUCAUGAGUUAUUGUUUUGUUUUGUUUUGUUUUUGCCUAAAAUCUAGAUCCUGCACAACCAUUUCAUGACUUUUGAUUUCAGGGUUAAUACUUUGUAUUGUCUUGGCGUUAAUACUUAUGUAUCAAAUUUUUCUGGGACCUAUUUUUUUCUUUCAAUUGACAAAUGCAAUUACUUUUAUUUUCAGAAAAGUUGCCUUCUAUGUUAUCUUGAAAUAUUUUUGUCCUUUUUCUCAAUGUAAAAAUAAUAUGCAGCCCUAAAAAAGAAUGAAAUUAUGUCCUAUGCAGCAACAUGGAUGCAGCUGGAGGCCAUUAUCCUAAGUGAAUUAAUGCGGAAACAGAAAAGCAAAUACCACAUGUAUUUGUGGAUGUGGUAUCCACAUCCACUUAUAAGUGGAUGCUAAACCUUGGGUACUCACAGACAUAAAGAUGGCAACAAUAGACACUGGGGACUACUAGAACAGGGAGGGAGGGAGGGAGGGGGGCAAAGGUUGAAAAACUAUCAAGUACUAUGCUUACCACCUGAAGGAUGGGAUCAUUUCUACCCCAAACCUCAGCAUCACACAUUAUACCCACAUAACAAACCUGCACAUGUACCCUCCAAAUCUAAAAUAAAAGGUGAAAAUAUUUUAAAAAAUUACAUCUACAAGGGAUCGCCUUUGUCUGCUUCCAGUGAUGUUAUCUCAAAUACUUCCUAAUGACACACUUUUUUAUUCUUACAGAUCUUUUUUUGUUUGUUUGUUUCAUCUUAUAUGUGUGCUUCAACAGGUGCAUCCUUUCUGACUUAGCAUCAGGGUGAUGGUAAGAUCUGUAUUUGAGGUUAGGCUAUGAGGACUCCUUUUUAGACCCUGAGCCUACAGCAGAUGCUACAAAUGCUACAAAUGCUACAAACCAGCUUUGUAGCCUAGAAGAACAUAAGCCUCCCAAAAGAAACACUUUGCGUGUAUAGGUCCCACAAAAAAAUCAUGAAUGAGGGAUCAUUAAUAGUGAGUUUUCUAUCCAGACAAUAUCUCAUAGGGUCUAAUUCACAGUAUUGUUUUAUGUCCAACAUAUUGGUUGCUAGUAACACAGAAAAAUGCUUUAUAAGAGAUUUUUAGAAACACAUUAUGUCAAUGAUUAAUGCCAAUAAUUUCUACUUUAUCAACAAUUAUCCAAAU
rnacentral:lncRNA from 1 species